UACGGAGGGUGCGAGCGUUGUCCGGAAUCACUGGGCGUAAAGGGCGCGUAGGCGGUCCGGUAAGCGUGUGGUGAAAGCCCGGGGCUCAACCCCGGGUCGGCCGUGCGAACUGCGGGACUGGAGCACUGUAGAGGCAGGCGGAAUUCCGGGUGUAGCGGUGGAAUGCGUAGAGAUCCGGAAGAACACCGGUGGCGAAGGCGGCCUGCUGGGCAGUAGCUGACGCUGAGGCGCGACAGCGUGGGGAGCAACAGG
rnacentral:rRNA from 1 species